AGUGAACGCUGGCGGUAGGCCUAACACAUGCAAGUCGAACGGCAGCACAGUAAGAGCUUGCUCUUACGGGUGGCGAGUGGCGGACGGGUGAGGAAUACAUCGGAAUCUACUUUUUCGUGGGGGAUAACGUAGGGAAACUUACGCUAAUACCGCAUACGACCUACGGGUGAAAGCUGGGGAUCUUCGGACCUUGCGCGAUUGAAUGAGCCGAUGUCGGAUUAACUAGUUGGCGGGGUAAAGGCCCACCAAGGCGACGAUCCGUAGCUGGUCUGAGAGGAUGAUCAGCCACACUGGAACUGAGACACGGUCCAGACUCCUACGGGAGGCAGCAGUGGGGAAUAUUGGACAAUGGGCGCAAGCCUGAUCCAGCCGUACCGCGUGGGUGAAGAAGGCCUUCGGGUUGUAAAGCCCUUUUGUUGGGAAAGAAAAGCAGCAGGUUAAUACCCCGCUGUUCUGACGGUACCCAAAGAAUAAGCACCGGCUAACUUCGUG
rnacentral:rRNA from 1 species